GGAGACAAACUUAUAAAUCUUAUUACUUCGAUACAUUUUUAGUAUACUUGCUACAAGUUUAUCAAUCAUAAUUGGGUUAACAUCUUAACUAAUUAAACUAACCAAUUCAAGUAAACUCAUCUGUAGUCACAAUUUGCAAUUCCUAAUAAAUAGAAACAAAUUAAACCACAUAAUAAAACUAUUCAGUAGGAAAAACACAACAAUGUAAUGUUAAAGAAGAAAAAUAGACUAAGUGAAAAAGAAAACUAGCUAAGUUAAAACUUAUAAAUUAGGUUAUUUCAAUUUUGUUAAGGUAAAAGCAACACGUUCAUAUAUAUAGGGAGAAAAACAUUAAUGUGGAUAUAUAGAAGCUAUUCUUAACAUAUUUAUUAUUUAUUUAUAUUUUGAUAAAAUGAAAAGUUGAAUUCUGAACAUAUUAUUUUCAUUUAGUUUAGUUGACGUAAAAUCUAUAUCUAUAUAGAAGACAUAUUCAAAUAGCUAGCCUUUAUUUUUAGCACCAGCAAAUUUAGUUUUCUUGAUGUGGACAUAAAGCAUGCAUAAUAACUUUCUGCAUUCAAAACACAACAACACAUUAUAACAGCUAAAGAACCAUUAAUUCAAAAAUAGCAAUUUAAUAUUUCCAUAUUCACCUUCAUCAAAUUUAAUAUUUCUCAUCCACUUUUUCCGCUUUUUCCAUUGUUGUUCUCCCAAAAUUAAAGAGACUGCAGGAAGGAACCAUAACCAAAUAAGCACGCCUAUUUUAUGCUGGUAUGAAUCUUUACAAACAUAUGAAAAAUAUAAAAAUUUAAUUUAAUUUCAUCUUAAAUUUUGUACUUGGUUAGCAACCAUAACCCCGCUUCAUAUGUUUCCAUGUGGAUACCUACUCAUUGUUGUGUAGGUAGAUGAAAAGAUGGAAAUAUUUGAAGAAGAGAUAGAAUUUUAAGCUACAGGGUUAUUUAAAUUUCAUUUUUACACUCCAUAGAUAUUUUAUUUACGUUAUUAUGAGGUAAUCGAUGUAUGGAUCGACUAGCAUAUAAGUUACUUUAGAGUGAAUUUCGUACACUAUGAAAUAAUAGUAAGUUUCUCGAUCUUUUAAUUAAGCAUUUCUCUUUUUAAUUAUGUUAAUUUCACAUAUUUAUUAUAUGAAAACUUUUAUGUUUGUGAAUGUUUCAAAUUGAAAUUUAUUUUCUUGUAUUUUUUAUUAGAUUCUAUAUUUAAACUCAUCUCAGGAAAGUGUGUCACAUGUUACAAAAUUUUAUUCUAUUUUUUGUAAUUUUCCUUUUUCUAUCUCAAAACGGUAAAUUAAAAAUUAUUUUAUAUAAAUGAAUUUUUUUUAGGUGACCUCCUGUUUAAUUUUGUCCAUGGGACAAACAUAACGUAACACUUCAAUGUAGUUAAGAGAUAUUUUACUAAGUAUUAUAACAACUAUUUAAUUUAUGUAGUUAAGAGAUAUUUUACUAAAUCUUAUAACAACUAUUUAAUUUGUAUAAAGAAACCGUGUGCUUUAUACAUUAUAAAUUCAUCAAAUCCUUUUCUAUUUUUUUCAUGCAAAAGGGAAAAAUAUGGCUAAAGUCACUAAGUUUGUUUAUAUUACGAUCCACUUUCUUUCACUAUUUUUCAUUGCAAUGAACAUUGUCGGUAAGUUAUCAUUCAUUGUUUUACAAUUUUUUCUUUACUUCUUAC
rnacentral:lncRNA from 1 species